rnacentral:rRNA from 1 species
AUGGCGACCGGCAACGGGUGAGUAACAAGUGAGCAACCUGCCUAUAACUGGAGGAUAACCCGUCGAAAGACGGACUAAUACUGCAUAAUAUUGAGAUACCGCAUGAUAUUUCAAUUAAACUUUUUGGGUUAUAGAUGGGCUCGCCUUCCAUUAGCUAGUUGGUAAGGUAACGGCUUACCAAGGCGACGAUGGAUAGGGGUUCUGAGAGGAAGGUCCCCCACAUUGGUACUGAGACACGGACCAAACUCCUACGGGAGGCAGCAGUGAGGAAUAUUGGUCAAUAGACGGAAGUCUGAACCAGCCAAGUCGCGUGCAGGAAGACUGCCCUAUGGGUUGUAAACUGCUUUUAUAUAGGAAUAAAAAAAUCUACGUGUAGGUUAUUGUAGGUACUAUAAGAAUAAGGAUCGGCUAACUCCGUGCCAGCAGCCGCGGUAAUACGGAGGAUUCGAGCGUUAUCCGGAUUUAUUGGGUUUAAAGGGUGCGUAGGCGGGACGAUAAGUCAGCGGUGAAAGUUUGUAGCUUAACUAUAAAAUUGCCAUUGAUACUGUUGUUCUUGAGUGCAAAUGAGGUAGGCGGAAUGUGUUGUGUAGCGGUGAAAUGCAUAGAUAUAACACAGAACACCGAUUGCGAAGGCAGCUUACUGGGAUGCAACUGACGCUGAGGCACGAAAGCGUGGGGAUCGAACAGGAUUAGAUACCCU